GAUGAACGCUGGCGGCGUGCCUAAUACAUGCAAGUCGAGCGAACGGACGAGAAGCUUGCUUCUCUGAUGUUAGCGGCGGACGGGUGAGUAACACGUGGAUAACCUACCUAUAAGACUGGGAUAACUUCGGGAAACCGGAGCUAAUACCGGAUGAUAUUUUGAACCGCAUGGUUCAAAAGUGAAAGACGGUCUUGCUGUCACUUAUAGAUGGAUCCGCGCUGCAUUAGCUAGUUGGUAAGGUAACGGCUUACCAAGGCAACGAUUCAUAGCCGACCUGAGAGGGUGAUCGGCCACACUGGAACUGAGACACGGUCCAGACUCCUACGGGAGGCAGCAGUAGGGAAUCUUCCGCAAUGGGCGAAAGCCUGACGGAGCAACGCCGCGUGAGUGAUGAAGGUCUUCGGAUCGUAAAACUCUGUUAUUAGGGAAGAACAUAUGUGUAAGUAACUGUGCACAUCUUGACGGUACCGAAUCAGAAAGCCACGGCUAACUACGU
rnacentral:rRNA from 1 species